AAGUCGUAACAAGGUUUCCGUAGGUGAACCUGCGGAAGGAUCAUUACGAAUAAGUCCGAGCUGGGUCUUACUUUCUGAGUGGGACUUGGCGGGGUAUUCUCAUAGUGUGCACUACGAUUUGAUGUUGGUGGGAGGGGACGAUUCGAGACGAGUCUCUUGAGACGAGUAUCGAUGAGUACUGCGACCACCACACUUGAUUACUUUUUAAUUCACUUUGAACCUAUAGCAGCUCAGUAAUGAGCCGCUCUGUGGGUAUACAACUUUCAGCAAUGGAUCUCUAGGCUCUCC
rnacentral:misc_RNA from 1 species